GUUUAUGUACUGCCACUCUCCAGUCGUUGAUAUGGAAGUAACAGGCAGGAAAAUUAACAAAGGCUACGUUCACACAGCAGGUGCUGAUUGCUGUGCACAGUGACUGUAUAAACUGUAAGUGCUCUCCUCACUCCUCUGAUCACCUGAUUUCUCCUGUGUGUUUCCUAUUGGUCACUGUAGAAUGACGCACUCCAUUGAUAAAACAUGACACAGAUAUGCAGCUAGGUAGUGCUUAGAGCAGUUGCAAAAGACUGUAAUCCUCCCAUACACACACACAUACACACACACACACACACACAUCUGAAUCACUGGAUGUUAUGUUUGCUGUUUUAAUGCACUAAUUUAAUGCUGUGUGUAAUUUAAGGAGCGUUCUAUUUAGGCCAGUUUUAAGACCGAUUUGCUCUUGCAGACAACGACGGAAGGUGUCCCA
rnacentral:lncRNA from 1 species